rnacentral:tRNA from 1 species
GGUAAGAUGGCUGAGUGUUUUAGCGGUGGGUUGUAGUUCCACAAACAGAGGUUCAAUUCCUUUUCUUAUCA